rnacentral:rRNA from 1 species
CCCUGGUAGUCCACGCCGUAAACGUUGGGCACUAGGUGUGGGGCGUUCCCGUUCGCGGGGGCUCCGCGCCGUAGCUAACGCAUUAAGUGCCCCGCCUGGGGAGUACGGCCGCAAGGCUAAAACUCAAAGGAAUUGACGGGGGCCCGCACAAGCGGCGGAGCAUGCGGAUUAAUUCGAUGCAACGCGAAGAACCUUACCAGGGCUUGACAUGGGGGCGGUGGCGUCGGAGACGGCGUCUCCCUUUUUCGGGGCGCCCCCGCAGGUGGUGCAUGGUUGUCGUCAGCUCGUGUCGUGAGAUGUUGGGUUAAGUCCCGCAACGAGCGCAACCCUUGUCCCGUGUUGCCAGCGCGUUGUGGCGGGGACUCACGGGGGACUGCCGGGGUCAACUCGGAGGAAGGUGGGGACGACGUCAAAUCAUCAUGCCCCUUAUGCCUUGGGCUUCACGCAUGCUACAAUGGCCGGUACAGAGGGUGGCGAUGCCGUGAGGCGGAGCGAAUCUCUUAAAGCCGGUCUCAGUUCGGAUCGGUGUCUGCAACUCGACACCGUGAAGUCGGAGUCGCUAGUAAUCGCAGAUCAGCAUUGCUGCGGUGAAUACGUUCUCGGGCCUUGUACACACCGCCCGUCACGUCAUGAAAGUCGGUGACGCCCGAAGCCCGUGGCCCUAUGGGGAGCGGUCGAAGGCGGGGCCGGUGAUUGGGAGGAAGUCGUAACAAGGUAGCCG